CGGUAUUAAAGAUGAAGAAGACGAAGAAGAAGAAGAGUAAGAAGGGCGGAAUGUGGGAGGGAGUACAUAUGCGCCAGUAGAUGCGUCAGUAGAAAUUGGUAACACUAGAUUUAUCAAACAUCCUUUCUCUUCUCUUUUCAUCAUCAUCUUCUUCUUCUUCCUCUUCUUUCUUCUUUUUCA
rnacentral:precursor_RNA from 1 species